UGACUGGAGGGGAGCUACUGGAGGCCCCCGGGCAGCCCUGUGGCUGCUGCGUGCCUCAGUUUCCCCACAGGCAGUCACUCUCUGGCCCAGGAUGCUGGAGAUGGCCUGUAUCCCGGGCACUGGGGGUUCCCCCUGGGUUCUGAGCCCUGGAUUUCGAGCCAGACAAGACCAAAGGCCGAGUUCCAGGAAGGCGGGGGCCUCGCCGGUCUUGCUGGCUGAUGGGAUCCCAGGCCCGAGUCUCCGCCUGACACACGCUGGGUGCUGACAUAACAACCAGGAUAUGUCCCAUGCUCCACUAAACAGUACACAGCAGGAUGAUGGGGGAUUUGGAAGCUGAUCACUUGGCCGCGAGAACACCUCCCUUGUCCCACUGGGCUGCUUUUGUUCCUGCCACGGCGACCACACGGGAAGUCUUUCAGAGACAGUCUAUAAUGCUCUUUGCCAACAAUAGCUAUAAUAAUAAAAGAACUAACACUGGGGACUUCCCUGGUGGUCCAGUGGUUAAGACUCUGCACUUCCAAUGCAGGGGGUGCAGGUUUGAUCCCUGGUCGGGGAACUAAGAUCCCGCAUGCCGUGCU